UACGUAGGGACCGAGCGUUGUCCGGAUUCAUUGGGCGUAAAGAGCUCGUAGGCGGCUGUUCAAGUCGAACGUGAAAACUCGGAGCUCAACUCCGAGCCUGCGUUCGAGACUGGAUGGCUAGAGUCUGGUAGGGGGAUCUGGAAUUCCUGGUGUAGCGGUGGAAUGCGCAGAUAUCAGGAAGAACACCAACGGCGAAGGCAGCUCGCUGGGACGGAACUGACGCUGAGGCGCGAAAGCGUGGGGAGCGAACAGG
rnacentral:rRNA from 1 species